GGGGGGGGGGGGGGGGGGGGGUGGGGGGGGGGGGGGGGGGGGGGAGGGGAGGAGGUUGCGCCUGUGACGGUAGCGGGGGGCGGGUGGGUACGCCGUGGGUAACCUGGCUAUAAGACUGGGAUAACUUCGGGAAACCGGAGCGAGUGCCGGAUCAUAUAGUGAACCGCAUGGUUCAAUAGUGAAAUGCGGUUUUGCUGGUCCUUCGAGCUAGCUCCGCGCCGCAUUAGAUAGUUGGUAAGGUAACGGCUUACCAAGGCAACGAUGCAUAGCCGACCUGAGAGGGUGAUCGGCCACACUGGAAAUGAGACACGGUCCAGACUCCUACGGGAGGCAGCAGUAGGGAAUCUUCCGCAAUGGGCGAAAGCUUGACGGAGCAACGCCGCGUGAGUGAUGAAGGUCUGCGGAUCGUAAAACUCUGUUAUUAGGGAAGAACAAAUGUGUAAGUAACUAUGCACGUCUUGACGGUACCUAAUCAGAAAGCCACGGCUAACUACGUG
rnacentral:rRNA from 1 species